GAUGAACGCUGGCGGCGUGCCUAAUACAUGCAAGUCGAGCGAACGGACGAGAAGCUUGCUUUUCUGAUGUUAGCGGCGGACGGGUGAGUAACACGUGGAUAACCUACCUAUAAGACUGGGAUAACUUCGGGAAACCGGAGCUAAUACCGGAUAAUAUUUUGAACCGCAUGGUUCAUAAGUGAAAGACGGUCUUGCUGUCACUUAUAGAUGGAUCCGCGCUGCAUUAGCUAGUUGGUAAGGUAACGGCUUACCAAGGCAACUAUGCAUAGCCGACCUGAGAGGGUGAUAGGCCACCCUGGAACUGAGACGCGGUCCAGACGCCUACGGGAGGCAGCAGUAGGGAAUCUUCCGCAAUGGGCGAAAGCCUGGCGGAGCAACGCCGCGUGAGUGAUGAAGGUCUUCGGAUCGUAAAACUCUGUUAUUAGGGAAGAACAUAUGUGUAAGUAGCUGUGCACAUCUUGACGGUACCUAAUCAGAAAGCCACGGCUAACUACGUG
rnacentral:rRNA from 1 species